UACGUAGGGGGCAAGCGUUGUCCGGAAUCAUUGGGCGUAAAGCGCGUGUAGGCGGUUCGGUAAGUCGGCUGUGAAAGUCCAGGGCUCAACCCUGGGAUGCCGGUCGAUACUGCCGGACUAGAGUUCGGAAGAGGCGAGUGGAAUUCCUGGUGUAGCGGUGAAAUGCGCAGAUAUCAGGAGGAACACCAAUGGCGAAGGCAGCUCGCUGGGACGUGACUGACGCUGAGACGCCGAAAGCGUGGGAGGCAAACAGG
rnacentral:rRNA from 1 species